rnacentral:rRNA from 1 species
CAAUAUCGUAUAUUAAAGUUGUUGCAGUUAGAACGCUCGUAGUCGGAUUUCGGGGCGGGUCGACCGGUCUGCCGAUGGGUACGCACUGGCCGACGCGUCCUUUUUGCCGGAGACCGUCCCUACUCUUAACUGAGCGGGGUCGGGAGACGGCACUUUUACUUUGAAAAAAUCAGAGUGUUUCAAGCAGGCAGCUCGCUCUUGCAUGGAUUAGCAUGGGAUAAUGAAAUAGGACUUUGGUGCUAUUUUGUUGGUUUCGAACACCGAAGUAAUGAUGAGAAGGGACAGUCAGGGGCACUCGUAUUCCGCCGAGAGAGGUGAAAUUCUCAGACCAGCGGAAGACGAACCACUGCGAAAGCAUUUGCCAGGGAUGUUUUCACUGA